AGACAGGAGCUUCCUCUGGGUCUCCCAUACAGGUACAGGGUAUCAAAGCAUUGCGCCAUCCUCAACUGCUUUCACAGGCCACAAGCAGGGAGCUGGAUGGGAAGUGCAGCU